rnacentral:rRNA from 1 species
GAUGAACGCUGGCGGCGUGCCUAAUACAUGCAAGUCGAGCGGACGGACGAGAAGCUUGCUUCUCUGAUGUUAGCGGCGGACGGGUGAGUAACACGUGGAUAACCUACCUAUAAGACUGGGAUAACUUCGGGAAACCGGAGCUAAUACCGGAUAAUAUUUUGAACCGCAGGGUUCAAAGGUAAAAGACGGUCUUGCUGUCACUUAUAGAUGGAUCCGCGCUGCAUUAGCUAGUUGGUAAGGUAACGGCUUACCAAGGCAAGGAUGCAUAUCCGACCUGAGAGGGUGAUCGGCCACAUGGGAGCGGAGACAGGGUCCAUAGGCCUACGGUAGGCAGCAGACGGGUACGGUCCGCAAUGGGCGAAAGUAUGGCGGAGCAGGGGCGCGUGAGUGACGAAGGCCUUCGGAUCGGAAAACCCUGUUAUGAGGGAAGAACAGAUUUGUAAGUAACUGUGCACAGCGUGACGGUACCUAGUCAGAAAGCCCCGGCUAACUACGUG